CCUACGUGGUGCUGCAGUGGGGAAUAUUGGACAAUGGGCGAAAGCCUGAUCCAGCCAUGCCGCGUGUGUGAAGAAGGCCUUCGGGUUGUAAAGCACUUUCAGUGGGGAAGAAAGCCUUGGGGCUAAUACCCUCGAGGAAGGACAUCACCCACAGAAGAAGCACCGGCUAACUCCGUGCCAGCAGCCGCGGUAAUACGGAGGGUGCGAGCGUUAAUCGGAAUUACUGGGCGUAAAGCGCGCGUAGGCGGUCUGAUAAGCCGGUUGUGAAAGCCCCGGGCUCAACCUGGGAACGGCAUCCGGAACUGUCAGGCUAGAGUGCAGGAGAGGAAGGUAGAAUUCCCGGUGUAGCGGUGAAAUGCGUAGAGAUCGGGAGGAAUACCAGUGGCGAAGGCGGCCUUCUGGACUGACACUGACGCUGAGGUGCGAAAGCGUGGGUAGCAAACAGGAUUAGAUACCCCGGGUAGUC
rnacentral:rRNA from 1 species